UACGGGGGGAGCAAGCGUUGUUCGGAUUUACUGGGCGUAAAGGGCGGGUAGGCGGCCACCGCAAGUCAGUUGUGAAAUCUCUGGGCUUAACCCAGAAAGGUCAACUGAUACUGCGGGGCUAGAGUGCAGAAGGGGCAACUGGAAUUCUCGGUGUAGCGGUGAAAUGCGUAGAUAUCGAGAGGAACACCUGCGGCGAAGGCGGGUUGCUGGGCUGACACUGACGCUGAACUGCGAAAGCUAGGGAGCGAACGGG
rnacentral:rRNA from 1 species